UGUAAGCGUAUACCAAAGUUGUUGCAGUUAAUACGCUCGUAGUCGGAAUUUGGCAGUUCCGGAUGUGUGCACGUCGUGUGCGCACUUCGCGGGGAUUGCUUUUGUGGUCUUGCGUAGGAUGAGGCACUUUUAUUAGUGAACGUCCUCACGCAACCACUUUUUACUGUGAGAAAAUCAGAGUGCUCAAAGCAGGCAUUUGCCGUGAAUGUAUUAGCAUGGAAUAAUAGAAUAGGACUUGGUUCUAUUUUGUUGGUUUGUUGGGACUGAGUAAUGAUUAAGAGGGACAGUUGGGGGCAUUUGUAUUUCGGUGCUAGAGGUGAAAUUCUUAGAUUACCGAAAGACAAACUGCUGCGAAAGCGUCUGCCAAGGAUGUUCUCAUUGA
rnacentral:rRNA from 1 species